AAAUACUAAAGACUGAGCAGUCUUGUUGCAAGUGAAUGUAAUGCAGUGAGCCUUGACAUUUGACAUAGACUAUCAGCUGGACUGAUGGUGAUAAACCCUGGACUUUUUUCACCUUGGCCAUCCGACAAACAGAAAGAACUUGGAUCUACAAAUACACGACAAACAGACUUGUGUUUCGUUACCCACCACUCGGUAACCGUCAGGACAAGAGAAUACGAUGAUAUCUCCUGUGGGUCCAAGUGUCAGUGUCAGCAGUCCUAUUCUUAAAUUCCUCUGUAGAGCCUUGCAUUCUGCACAUAACAUGCUUUGACGGUAGGUGUGUAUACAAGCGAACACACUGCACUGUAACGUUAGUCUCAGGCCUAGGGAGGAUAAGGUCUGGCUACCGAGGCUACUGUAAGCGUAUCGUGUGGCAACACGACAGCCGAAUGAACGGAACACAAAAAUUACUGAUUAAUUGUACGUAUUGAUAAUUCUAUCUGUAUAUAUCCCUUUUCUAGAAUUGUAGACUCACGUGA